ACACCGUUGGUGAAGUGGUUAUCAUGCUUGCCUUCCAUCAGUAUAUAGUGAGCAAGCGGCUCGGGUUCGAUUCCCGAACGGUGUA